rnacentral:misc_RNA from 1 species
UGUGGGAGCCAGCCUGCUGGCGAUGGCGGUGGGUCAGCCACAGGGAUAUUGAAGGUCAGUCCGUCAUCGCCAGCAGGCUGGCUCCCACA